rnacentral:rRNA from 1 species
CCUACGGGGGGCAGCAGUGGGGAAUAUUGGACAAUGGGCGAAAGCCUGAUCCAGCCAUGCCGCGUGUGUGAAGAAGGCCUUCGGGUUGUAAAGCACUUUCAGUGGGGAAGAAAGCCUUGGGGCUAAUACCCUCGAGGAAGGACAUCACCCACAGAAGAAGCACCGGCUAACUCCGUGCCAGCAGCCGCGGUAAUACGGAGGGUGCGAGCGUUAAUCGGAAUUACUGGGCGUAAAGCGCGCGUAGGCGGUCUGAUAAGCCGGUUGUGAAAGCCCCGGGCUCAACCUGGGAACGGCAUCCGGAACUGUCAGGCUAGAGUGCAGGAGAGGAAGGUAGAAUUCCCGGUGUAGCGGUGAAAUGCGUAGAGAUCGGGAGGAAUACCAGUGGCGAAGGCGGCCUUCUGGACUGACACUGACGCUGAGGUGCGAAAGCGUGGGUAGCAAACAGGAUUAGAUACCCUGGUAGU